rnacentral:ribozyme from 1 species
GCCAUACUUCGCUGAUACGGUGGUGGAUCCGAAACCUCUAGAAGGUUGACAUAGCCUCUCUAUGCACUACUCAAUGCGUCCCCGUCGUACAGAACGGUAACAUGUCUUUCAAUUAUCCAAGCUUUGGUAUAAGGCAGCGGUAUUCUGGAUUCAAACCCUCGCAUGAAAAAAUGACAUACGAUUGGA